GAGUACAACAGGCAAGGAAGGAAAUCUUGACACCUGGGAAGGAAUAGGGGCUAAGACGUGGAGGGUGGACCUGCCAAUAAGGCAUGGUACUGGCACACACUUGGAGCCCCAUCAGCAUUGGUGAUUCUCAUGUGCAGCCAAGACUGAGAACCUCAUGAAGACAGAUAAGCAGGGCUACUCCCGAGGGUGAGUGCUCAGCUUUUAUUGGAAGCAGGCUUGGCCUGAGUGCAUCUGAAUUCAUCCUUCCUGGUGCCCAAACCAGCCCAGAGAAUUCCUGUGGCUGGAGUGACCCAUACAGACAAUGUUAUAGAAAGGAUGCCAGCAACUAACGGGGCACAGAACUACAGGAGUGGGCAGGCUGUAAGGGCUCCCUAACUGAGAAUGCCGUGUCUCCAUGCAACACCCUGGGUCUGCCUCUAAUGCCUGGAGUCUUUCCUGUUCCAAGAACCAGCAAGGCUGUGGUCAUGUGAAAAGCAUUCUUGGGGGUUGUGUGUGCACAGCCAACAUGACUGCACACAAGGGCCUCGACCAAAGGCAGUACACACAAUGUCUGGGUGGGUGGCCAGAACUCGAAGUGCCCCCUGGUUUUUAAAAAAAAAAAAAAAAAAAGGACGGAGUGGGGGUGGAUUGCUGUUUCCCAAUGUGUUUCUACAGAAGGCUAGUUCUUUGGGCUAUUCAUCAGAGUUAGGGAUGGAGAUGCUGAGAUCAGAUAACAUCUGAAGGAAGCUGGAUUUAGACACAGCUAAAUCCACCUCUCUACUGUAGGACUUCUUGGAGUCCUGGUGGAAUAAUGAGCACAGGGAAUCUCCAAGAGAGGAGAUAAGAUGCAGUGCUUCCCAAACUUACUGAACCAUGGAACCUCUUUCCCCAUACAGCAUCUCUCAGGACAGUGAUCCAAAACACGUGUUUGGCCAAGGCUCAGGAAGACCCCACACUAAUAGGCCCCACCACGCCAUCAGCCAGGAGGGAAGCCUGCCUGUCCCCGUCCUCACCGAAGGAUGGUCACCAACAGGAGAAGCUGCUCUAGAAGCACGGGAGGAAGACGCUCAGCCCAGAUCCACUCCAGAUCCCACAAAUAGGCUUGAGCAGGCUUGGGCAAAGCGUGGAUUAUGGCUCUAUUUAGGAUGCCUGGGGCUCGUUCAUCCUGACAGCGCAGGAGACCUGGCGGGUCCAAGCAGAGGAAUCAACAUGAGCAGAAGAAUGGUGGUGCAAGGCAGCCAGUGUGUUUGGG
ensembl:lncRNA